GAUGAACGCUAGCGGCAGGCCUAAUACAUGCAAGUCGGACGGGAUUCAGGAGCUUGCUUCUGAUGAGAGUGGCGCACGGGUGCGUAACACGUAUGUAACCUACCUUUAUCAGGGGGAUAGCCUCUCGAAAGAGAGAUUAAGCCCGCAUAAAAUCACAGCACAGCAUUGUGUAAUGAUCAAAUAUUUAUAGGAUAAAGAUGGGCAUGCGGAACAUUAGCUAGAUGGCGGGUUAACGGCCCACCAUGGCGACGAUGUUUAGGGGAUCUGAGAGGAUGGCCCCCCACACUGGUACUGAGACACGGACCAGACUCCUACGGGAGGCAGCAGUAAGGAAUAUUGGUCAAUGGGCGGAAGCCUGAACCAGCCAUGCCGCGUGCAGGAAGACGGCCCUACGGGUUGUAAACUGCUUUUAUACGGGAAUAAACCCAGAUACGUGUAUCUGGCUGAAUGUACUGUAAGAAUAAGGAUCGGCUAACUCCGUG
rnacentral:rRNA from 1 species